GAUGAACGCUAGCGAUAGGCUUAACACAUGCAAGUCGAGGGGCAGCACAAGGUAGCUUGCUAUCUGGGUGGCGACCGGCGCGCGGGUGCGUAACGCGUAUGCAACUUGCCCUAUACAGGAGGAUAACCCGUCGAAAGACGGACUAAUACUGCGUAUGCACACAACUUGGCAUCCAGUGGUGAGUAAAGACAUUCGGUAUAGGAUAGGCAUGCGUCCCAUUAGCUUGUUGGUGAGGUAACGGCCCACCAAGGCAACGAUGGGUAGGGGAACUGAGAGGUUGAUCCCCCACACUGGUACUGAGACACGGACCAGAAUGCUACGGGAGGCAGCAGUGAGGAAUAUUGAUCAAUGGGCGCGAGCCUGAACCAGCCAAGUCGCGUGAAGGAUGACUGUCCUAUGGAUUGUAAACUGCUUUUAUACGGGAAUAGCAGGAGUCACGUGUGACGCCCUGCAUGUACCGUAUGAAUAAGCAUCGGCUAACUCCGUG
rnacentral:rRNA from 1 species